GGGCACCACUGUGGGUUCUUUGCUCAGCCUGCCCUGGCAUCAAUCCCAGCUGCUCAGGGGAUGCCUUUGGCUGUUCCCCCUGUUUGAACAGGGGGGUCUGGCCCGAGUCCAGCUCAGGUCGUGCAUCUCUAAACCACCAGGGUGCUGUGUCCAUUGCUCCCACCAGGACUCGCUUUCUAAUGCAGAUUUUUAGUUCAUUAGUGCAGUGGUGCAUUAAAAUGGAUCUCGGUUAAAAGGCUAAGCUAAUGUAAAAAAUGCCAAAUGAUUCCUCCCUGCCCUCCCCCCCAAAUUCUCUGAUUCAUUUUUGCCUUGACUUGGGCAGAGGGAAGGGCCAGUGUUCUGCAGAAUUCAGUCUGCUGGCUGGGGAGUCCUGGGCACUGAGGCCCUGAGGACUGUGUGUGUCAGACCUGCAGGACUUCAGGAUCCAUCCCUGGAACAGACCGAGAGGUGACUGAGAGACUGUCGUGUUCUGCUUCAUUCCUGGUGGAACUGGACGGGGGUUUGUGGUCACCAGGGUGCUGCUGUCUCCUCCUUGCUGAGUGAUGAACCUGGAGGGUGGUGCUGGUCCCCAGGGAGAGUCCCUCCCCUUUGCUGCUGACAAGGACCCAAGACUUAUUAAGUCAUUUGGCCUCCUGGGAAGAGUUGUUCCUGUGACAGAGUGGAGAUGACACUGCUGAGCCUCACAGUGUCAUCCCUGUCAGAAGCCAGCCUGGAAAGCCUGGAUCUCCUCCCCUCAAAUUUUACCUCAUUUUUCUGGGCCAGGAAGAAGAGGGAUUACCUCAUUUCCACCUCCUAUGAAAUAAAUCCUCAUUAUGGAUUUGCACCUGGGGAGGAAGAAGCUGAUUUGCACUCCCAGCCGGUUCUGAGCAGAUAUUUGAAGCUCAUCUCGUGGGGAGCACAGUCAUUUAGUGCUUGAUGCUUCAGGGCUGUGGUGGGCUGACACACCACGAGCUUCCCCCCAGCCUCUGGUCCCACUGGUGGGAGAGGACGGGAGGAUUUGUUUGUGCAGGUCCUGAUCCCAGUGAAAUGGAGAAAAUGUAAGUCAGACUAAAGUACCAAAACCAAAUACAGCAGAGGAGCCUUCCAGAGGCUUCCAGGGGGCAUCCAGAGGUGCUUGCAGAGGAGCCUGGAAGCACACAGCAGCCUGGAGCCCCAGGAAGCACAGGGAAGAGCAUUCUGUGGUCAGUGCCCUCACUCCAGAGCUCCUUGGCUCCAUCCAGCCCGUGUGUGCCUGGGGCUGUGCUUCAGCCC